UGCCCUUUAUACGCUGGGCUACACACGUGCUACAAUGGGUAGUACAGAGAGUCGCAAAGCCGCGAGGUGGAGCUAAUCUCAGAAAACUAUUCUUAGUUCGGAUUGUACUCUGCAACUCGAGUACAUGAAGUUGGAAUCGCUAGUAAUCGCGAAUCAGCAAUGUCGCGGUGAAUACGUUCUCGGGUCUUGUACACACCGCCCGUCACACCACGAGAGUUGGUUGCACCUGAAGUAGCAGGCCUAACCGCAAGGAGGGAUGCUCCGAGGGUGUGAUUAGCGAUUGGGGUGAAGUCGUAACAAGGUAUCCGUACGGGAACGUGCGGAUGGAUCACCUCCUUUCUAAGGAGAAUAUGUCUUUCUCUAUUCUAUUGGUAAUGUUCUUAGAACAUUGCACUGGACAUUGGAAACUAUAUAGUAGAACAAACAAGAAAAAAAUUAACUCUAACAAUUUCUUAGAGUUAGCUGUCAAAAAAAAUAGGUUAAAAUAAUAAAGGGCACACAAAGGAUGCCUAGGUAGUAAGAGCCGAUGAAGGACGUGGUAAGCUGCGAUAAGCCUAG
rnacentral:sRNA from 1 species